GAUGAACGCUGGCGGCGUGCUUAACACAUGCAAGUCGAACGAUGAAGCCCAGCUUGCUGGGUGGAUUAGUGGCGAACGGGUGAGUAACACGUGAGUAACCUGCCCUUGACUCUGGGAUAAGCCUGGGAAACUGGGUCUAAUACUGGAUAUGACUUCUCAUCGCAUGGUGGGGGGUGGACAGAUUUAUUGGUCUUGGAUGGACUCGCGGCCUAUCAGCUUGUUGGUGAGGUAAUGGCUCACCAAGGCGACGACGGGUAGCCGGCCUGAGAGGGUGACCGGCCACACUGGGACUGAGACACGGCCCAGACUCCUACGGGAGGCAGCAGUGGGGAAUAUUGCACAAUGGGCGCAAGCCUGAUGCAGCGACGCCGCGUGAGGGAUGACGGCCUUCGGGUUGUAAACCUCUUUCAGUAGGGAAGAAGCGAGAGUGACGGUACCUGCAGAAGAAGCGCCGGCUAACUACGUG
rnacentral:rRNA from 1 species